GUAUGUAAGACCCCUUGAAGACCACGAGGUAGAUAGGUUGGAGGUGGAAGUGCAGCAAUGCAUGGAGCUGACCAAUACUAAUCGGUCGAGGGCUUAUCCUA
rnacentral:rRNA from 1 species